rnacentral:rRNA from 1 species
CGCGAGUCACGGGGUCUUGAACAGGCCCAGAGGCGCAAUGAAAGUGAAGGCAGGCUCCUGCCGCGUUGGGACCCCCCGCAACCGGCCGUUCGCUCGGCCGGCCGGGGGAGCACCAACGGCCCGCCCUAUCCGAUUUAUCGGUUGGGCGGAGUCCGAGCGUACGCGUUGGGACCCGAAAGAUGGUGAACUAUGCCUGGGCAGGACGAAGCCAGAGGAAACUCUGGUGGAGGUCCGUAGCGGUUCUGACGUGCAAAUCGAUCGUCAGACCUGGGUAUAGGGGCGAAAGACCAAUCGAACCAUCUAGUAGCUGGUUCCCUCCGAAGUUUCCCUCAGGAUAGCUGGCACUCGGAGGAUUCAGUCUCAUCCGGUAAAGCGAAUGAUUAGAGGCCUUGGGGCCGAAACGACCUCAACCUAUUCUCAAACUUUAAAUGGGUGAGAAGCCCGGCUUGCAUGACUGAAGCCCGGGCGGAGAGAUGUGAGUGCCCAGUGGGCCACUUUUGGUAAGCAGAACUGGCGCUGUGGGAUGAACCAAACGCCGGGUUACGGCGCCCGAUGCGAGACGCUCAUGAGACCCCAUGAAAGGUGUUGGUUGCUAUAGACAGCAGGACGGUGACCAUGGAAGUCGGGAUCCGCUAAGGAGUGUGUAACAACUCACCUGCCGAAGCAACUAGCCCUGAAAAUGGAUGGCGCUCCAGCGUCGAGCCCAUACCCGGCCGCCGCGGCAGAGCUCUCUCUCGGAGGCUUACGCCGCGGCGAGUAGGAGGGUCGCAGCGGCGAGCGUCGAAGGUGCCGGGCGCGAGCCCGCCUGGAGCCGCCGCUGGUGCAGAUCUUGGUGGUAGUAGCAAAUACUCAAGUGAGAACCUUGAGGACUGAGGUGGAGAAGGGUUCCAUGUGAACAGCAGUUGAACAUGGGUCAGUCGGUCCUAAGGGAUAGGAGAAAUCUGUUCCGAAGCGGGACGUUCUUUUCGAACGUGAGCUCGUCCCGCGCAGACCGAAAGGGAAUCGGGUUAAUAUUCCCGAACCCGGACACGGAGACCGGACCCUCGGGUCCUAGUGCGGCAACGCAACCGAACCCGGAGAAGUCGACGGGAGUCCCGGGAAGAGUUUUCUUUUCUUUGUAAGGACUCGGGUCCCUGGAAUCGGCUCGUCCGGAGAUAGGGAUGCCGCCUCCGUAAAGCACCGCGGCUCUUGCGGUGUCCGGAGCGCUCCCGUCGGCCCUUGAAAAUCCGGGGGAGAGAGUGUGAUUUUCGUGCCGGACCGUACCCAUAUCCGCAGCAGGU